rnacentral:rRNA from 1 species
UACGGAGGGUGCAAGCGUUAUCCGGAUUCACUGGGUUUAAAGGGUGCGUAGGUGGGCAGGUAAGUCAGGGGUGAAAUCUCUGGGCUUAACCCGGAAACUGCCGUUGAUACUAUCUGUCUUGAAUAUAGUGGAGGUGAGCGGAAUAUGUCAUGUAGCGGUGAAAUGCUUAGAUAUGACAUAGAACAUCGAUUGCGAAGGCAGCUCGCUACACUAUGAUUGACACUGAGGCACGAAAGCGUGGGGAUCAAACAGG